GCGGGUGUGGCGGAACUGGUAGACGCGCCAGACUCAAAAUCUGGUUCCGGCAACGGAGUGGGAGUUCGAGUCUCCCCACCCGCACCA
rnacentral:tRNA from 1 species